CUGUCUGCUGGAAGGGUCUGUCCAACUAUCAAUGAAGACCUGCAUGAAUGAAAUGCAGUUUCCCCGGCAAAACGGAUGUCAGUACGAAAUAAUAUACCGAGUAUGUAAGACAACAAAAUAACUGAAGGCUAAAACCGAACUAAUAAUAUAAUAAGUGAAAGUAACUAUGAGUCAAAGAUAAUCUUAAGAUAUGCUUACCUACUGAUACUCAUUCAACUUUCUCAAUAUAGUAAGGAAAAUAGUUGCCUGUCCUUAUAAGGCUCGGUAUGUAUAACUGCUCUGCCGUACUAAGCUCGCUCAUAGGCGCUCGACCACACUAGACUCUGUAUCGUAGCCAUUCUGGGCUCGCUCAUAGGCACUCAGCCAUAGUAGGCUCGGUAUAUAAAUCACCAUCUGAUAAGAGGUUUACCAAUAAGGGCCUGCUAAUCGAUUAUAGCUCGAUGGUAGCGAAAAUACUAUAAUAAUGUAAUACUAUAUAUAUAUAUAGACUCUCUUAUCUCUUGGAUGAAAUAAGACAAAACUUAACUGAAUAUGAAGUAUUGAUAAGGGAGAAUACUAUAACUUAUGAGACUAGGAAAAUGUACAUAAAUUCAGGAAUAUGAACUUCUUUUUAUGUCUUGUUAUCAAACACGUGUAGUUACUGGAUCAUGCCAAAAUGAAGGAAAGGUUUAGCCUUAUCAUACUUUUGCAAUCUUCCCUCCAAUCGCCAACCAAGCUCAAUAUGAUCUUCUUACGUCUACAAUAAGUAACCCGACUUCGUCGUCAUCAUAUAAGCAUUGUAACACUCACAUUUCAAAACCAAUAUUCUACAAGAAAAUUGAAAGCAACUCCCCUAUAUUUAUUACAUCCCAUAAGUGAUUAAAAGUCACCAAACAGCCCAAACAACAACAAAAUAAUUCACAAUAAGAUCUCUGAUUACUUCAACAACCAUUUGAGCUUCAAGCUGUAUAUGCAAUUAACAAAAUAUAAUUUAGUCUUAUUCCUUAUCUAUAAAUCUUCCUACAACUUAUAUAACAUCAUACUUAUCCUUACUAUAUCAUUUUCAGCCCAAAACAUCAUAAGAAUAAUCUUCAAAAAUAAUUCACAUGCCUAGCACCUUAACCUUUAUUGUCAAACUCUUGUUUUUCAUGUUAUCUUCUUCAAUCCAUUGAAUUAGCACAUAGAUAAGCUUAAUAACAAGAGCCAAAACAUAAUCAAACUGUUUAUAACAAUUUCCAGCCACAACAAACCAUAUAUACAGCCUCAACACAGCCCACAGAAAAAGAUAACGAUUUCGUAUGCCAUGUCAAUUACUAUCUUGCAGAUUUUCACUCAACGAACACAUGAUUAACCUUAAGCAUUGUCGUGCCCUCUUUUUUUCCUUUUUGACGGGGAAGUCCUAGUUUCGACAUUCACGGGGGAACAACUCGUUUCCUUUUGAGAAUUGGGUAUUUUGAAGAGUCGCCACCUAACGGAUUAAGGUGCGUUAGAGCACAUAGAGUGUUUAACUCAUGUACUAGUUUGCAUCACCAGAGAUUGGGGUAAGGGCUCGAAAUAACCUUGAGUGGAAGGUGUUAGGCACCCCUUGCGGUCCACAAUGGUGAGUCACGGCCGAACUUAAACUAUGUGAAUUAGUCAUUUUAUAGGUAAACAAUUUCAACACAUAUUCAUAAAUAAAGGCAUGUUUUCACAUUCUAAGCACAUGUAUGAUUCAGGUAAUGGAAGAAAGGGAGAGGUUUGAACAACUUUCAUAUAUAUCUAUAUGUGUGUGUGUGUGCGUGUGUGCGUGCGUGUGUAAAAAAAGGAAGUACAUUUAAACACAUAGGAAUUGGGAAAGAGGGGGUCCUAGGUUGGUUAGCCUACAGGAUCAUACCCAUGCAAUGUCCAGUAAUCACUCCUUAAUGAGGGGCUACACGUGUCAUUGGUGCGCAGUCAUCACAUCCUUACUACCCAAUUCCCUCCCCUUGGUCAUAGCCUAAAGCGUUCUAGCAAUCUUAAAAGAUAUCCUAUGCGUGCACUACCCGUCCCGUCCUUGUGGCCCUAAGGUAUUUAGGACCACUAAUUCGGGUAGUUCUAUACUAUCCUAAGGUACUUUAAAGGAGAAAAAUCUAGGCGACUACCAAAACAAUUAGGAUUGCACCCAAGAUAGAACGAUUAAAGGCUCAAGUUUUACCUUUACAAACAGAGCAAGCAAGUGCACGUCUUAAACACAGUCUCAGGUAUUUAAAGAAGCCCUAGAACAAGAUAUCUAGGUGAGCAGAGAAUAUUCAUUAUUGAGUGAGGACCAAACUAUCAAAGACCUAUUCAGUUUGCCUGUUGAUUUUAGACCUGUUGUAUAUGAGCAGUCACAAAUAACAAAGCAUAGCUUUACAGUUUGCAAGAUUUUUAAUCGCCCUACAUGCUUGCCUAGGCGUUUAAUAGUGAUGUCCUGUGAGCAUGGUAUCUAAUCAUUGAUUAGGAAAGCAGUAAAAUAGUAAACAAUUUUAAACGGACAAUUAGGAUCCUAUAGGCAUGCUUUCUAGUGAUAUUAAUUAACACGACGUUGAAGAUUAUUAAAGAAACGAGUAGGUUAGUCAAUUAAACUGAUUCAGAACCUACAAGCAUGAGUUAAAUUGAUUGUAGAUCUAACUGAUUUUGGAUCUUAUAGGCAUGAUUUCUAUAAUUAAAGCUGAUUUAGAUCCUAUAGGCAUGACUUCUAAUUAUGUAAAAGUAAAGAAAGCAGAAUUCAUUUGAACCGAAGCAAAUCCUAUAGACAUAAUGUCUAACAAACACAUUUGAACAAAAUGAACCAUAUAGGCAUGUCAUCUAAUAAAAGACAUUUGAACCAAAUGAACCCUAUAGGCAUGUUAUCUAAUAAAACAUAUUUGAACCAAGCAAACCUAUAUGCAUGUUAUCUAAUAAAACACAUUUGAACCAAGAAAACCUAUAGGCAUGUUAUCUACCCAACUUUCCCACAGUAUACAACUACUCUCCCUUUUUACUAGUCACCUUAAAUCUAUUUAUAAUUAAUUAUUACAGACCAAUGAUUGAUUUUUUUUUACAUAAAUAGAAUAUAAGUUAAGUUAUAGGGAACCUGAAGUAGGCCCAAAGCAAAUACUGGUGUACCAAGCCUUCACUAGUCUCAAAUGCCCAAGAUUCCAUAGACCAAUUCAUGUCCAGGUGUGUCAGAGUUACCUAAGGACCUCAAGGAUUCCGGGCAGUGCUCACACCCAGACAUUCCUCAAAUUAAGACUGAUUAUGUGCAAUGUGGAAGAGCCAACCUUGAUAUGCCAGAGUUUAAAGAGACCUCAAGGAUCUCUAAGCAGUACACAUACUAAAGGGGCAGGACCUAAUGAACUAAGAGUAAGUGGGAGUGCAUAAUUUUAAACAAAGGCUUUGGUGAACAGUGUAGAGAAGGGUCUUAGGACUUUUUGAAAACUAGUACUAGUUUGGGUAAAAUAGUAGUUAGAAAACAAGAAAAAGAACAUCUUGAAAUCAGAAUACAAGUCCUAGAACAGCUUUAGAAAACACUUUGAAAAACAGACUUCACAUAAGGAGAAAGGGGUAGGGGAUACAUAGAAUACACCUUAUUGAUAGCAAACAGAUACACAAAUUCCUCAAGAAGUUGUGGAAUUGACAAGUUAGUUACAAAGAUUACAACAAAGACAUAUUGAGAAAUCAUAGGUCUUAGACAUGACCAAUACACACAACUAGAGUACUUUGAAAGGUUAGAUGCCUUAGCAGGAUCUCAUUAGUAAAUAGAGUAGGUAAGACUUAAAUGAAUAAACUAGGCAAGCACUUCAUGAAGUAUUCAAAGUUUUAGAAACACUAAUCACAUAUAGAACAAGCAGAAUUUAGACAUGCUGGGUGUGACAGUAAAUAAACAAUGCAGCUUGGACAUACUAGUGAACAAAUAGGAUUAAUGCAAUUAUCUAAUAGCAGGAUUGGGCAUGCUACACAGUAAACAGAUCCUUUUUUGUAAAUAUACUAGUCAUAGCUACAAACAGAACAAACUCCAACAUGCUAAGUGAUACAGUAGUUAGGUGGUAUAAUCUAGGCAUGCUGGUUAAACAUUGAGCAACAUGAUAGUAGAAUAGUAAAUAGAACUGGAAGUCAUAACUAAUAAGCUGCAGCAACAAAGAAAACACAUAGUUUUGGAAUUUGAAUUAAAUCAGGACAUACCAGCUAAGGAGAGAAUUCAGAGUAUAGAACAGAUAUGGUGCAAAUAGCCAGCCUUGGCUUACAACCGACUGGAUUAGUGAGAAUUGCAAGUAAUAGAAAAGAAUAGAAAGCUUUUGAGAGAGUGAGAGUAUUGAUAAACUAAUCUCCUCUUUCAAAAUCCAAAAUGGGGAGCUUAUAUAGCACUUAGCCGAAUAAAACAAAUAAGGCAAAGAAUAAUUAAGAGUUCCAAAUAAGGUGUGCAAGCAAAAUUAAAUAGUUAAUUGGGGCUAAACCCAAUAAAAUAAUUCAACAAAAUCCGAAAAUCACCCCUUAUAUUAGGGAGAAUCAAUUAACACCAAGUUAUAGGUUCAAUAAUGUAAAUAAAUCAAUCAAAGACCCUCUAGGAGUUAGUUAAAGCAAUUAAAUCCUAUAAAUCAGGCUAAUAAAAAAAUUAAGGAAAGUAGUACCAGUCAUGAGUCACAAAUAAGGAAAUAAAUCACAGGGAAAUACCAAUCUCGGCAAAAAAUAUAUUUUGAACCCUAAUUAGGCAAAUAAAAUUAGUCAAUCCCUUUUAACUGACAAAACUAACGAAUAACGGGAAAAAUAUUGAAAUAAUCAGUGAAAUAAGCAGAAACCCUAGGGAUUAAAACAUAAAUAUGAAAAAUCAGUCGAACAAGUAAAGAGAACCACAGUCAAACACUUUAGAAUUUUUGCAAAAAACUUAAAGGGAUGAAACCGUAGUUUGAAAACACUUAAAGAAGAAAACUUGAAUGCAUUUCAACAUACAGAGAUUCAAACAACCCGAAGUAAUAAUAGUCAAAACCUGAAGUAUUGUAGUGUUUAAAAAUUGGUCAGUAGUAAAGGAGUAAAUGAACCCAGAAGGGUACCCAUGGAAGUUUAAAAAUGUUUCAGAUACCUAGAGGUUCGACCAAUAAACAACAAGAAAACAAACCAUAAUAUAACAAAAAAAAUGUUCAGACAUCGAUUAACUUGUAAAUAAGUAAAGAAACAUUUAGGAAAAUCAACGAUGAACUCAGGAUCGCUCAAGAUCUAUGGAGAUCUAAACUAUUUCAAGUCCAAACAUUAGAUUUCAUGAAGAAAAGAGAAUGUGUAAGAGAAUCUGGCCUUUGAAUCAACGAUUUUAUCCAUGAGACUUUGAUAUAAAUUAUUCACUUACCAUAGACGAACUUUUGAAGAGUUUAAAAUUAGAUCUGGACUUGAUCUCUUCGAAAUCCAUCCACGAAACCACACAAUCAAGCAACCCAGGGAGAUAUGAGACAAGUAGAGGCCUCGUACAACCAUAAGACGCCAUAGAUCGGACAGGGAUUCAAGGGAUUAGGGCUGAUUUUAGGUGACGACGAUUAGGGUUAGGGGUUGG
rnacentral:lncRNA from 1 species